CCAGCUCAUUUUACAAGUGAGGAAACUGAGACCAAGAGGGUUAUAUGACUUGCCCAGGGCCACAUAACUAGUGUUUGACCUCUGAUCUUCCUGGAAUUAUGUGUCAUCAGUUGAACCUGAACCUGAACAAUCUCUCCCUAUCAUUCUGACUGUAUUGAAAUCAUGGAAACAGACUCAAGGUCCCAGAAGGAGCCCUCAGAAUCAUUUCAUCUGCUCCCCACAUCCAUUUUACAGAUUGGGAAAUUGAGACAUAGAGAGAAGAAAUGACUUGCCAAGUGCCACCCAGCAACGACAAAACAAAGAGACACGUUGGACAAAUUAGUGGUCACCUUGGAAGGAGUCUGUGUGGUGCACCAAGAACAGAAAUGCCUUCCUGGGGAGGCUUCGGACAGUCAACCAUCAUGGAAAAAUGCACCAUUUUGAGAGGCUCAGCAUCAUGGAGAGAGAUGCUUUGAAGGAACCGUCUUAACCAUGAUCCUCCUGUCCAUAAAACUGGUCUGUUCUGUUCUGUUCUGAGAUGAUCGGUGAAGGGAGAUUUCUUGGGAGAACAGAGGAAAAUAUUCCAAGAAGUUUGUUACUAACAUUUGGGAGAGAACUUAUUGC